AGAGUUUGAUCCUGGCUCAGGGCGAACGCUAGCGGCGCGCCUAACACAUGCAAGUCGUGCGGGAAAGGGCUUCGGCCCUAGUACCGCGGCAGACGGGUGAGUAACACGUGAGCAACCUGUCCCCGGGUCUGGGAUAACCACCCGAAAGGGUGGCUAAUACCGGAUAAAGUCACCGGGCGCAAGCUCGGUGAUGAAAGGGGGCCUCUGCAUAGCAAGCUCCUGCCUGGGGGGGGGCUCGCGGCCCAUCAGCUAGUUGGUGGGGUAACGGCCCACCAAGGCUAUGACGGGUAGCCGGCCUGAGAGGGUGGUCGGCCACACGGGCACUGAGACACGGGCCCGACUCCUACGGGAGGCAGCAGUGGGGAAUCUUGGGCAAUGGGCGAAAGCCUGACCCAGCGACGCCGCGUGGGGGAAGAAGGCCUUCGGGUCGUAAACCCCUGUUCUGGGGGAAGAACCCUGAACGGGUUAAUAGCCCGUUCAGGCUGACGGUACCCCAGGAGAAAGCCACGGCUAACUGCGUGCCAGCAGCCGCGGUAAUACGCAGGUGGCGAGCGUUGCCCGGAAUCACUGGGCGUAAAGGGUGCGUAGGCGGCAGGGCAAGUCGCGGGUUAAAGCCCGGGGCUCAACCCCGGAAAGGCCUGCGAUACUGCCUUGCUUGAGGGCCGGAGAGGCUGGCGGAAUUCCCGGUGUAGGGGUGAAAUCCGUAGAUAUCGGGAGGAACACCGGUGGGGAAGCCGGCCAGCUGGACGGUUCCUGACGCUGAGGCACGAAAGCGUGGGGAGCAAACCGGAUUAGAUACCCGGGUAGUCCACGCCGUAAACGAUGGGUGCUAGGUCUGGGGAGGAAACUCUCUGGGCCGAAGCUAACGCGUUAAGCACCCCGCCUGGGGAGUACGGCCGCAAGGCUGAAACUCAAAGGAAUUGACGGGGGCCCGCACAAGCGGUGGAGCACGUGGUUUAAUUCGAUGCAAAGCGAAGAACCUUACCUGGGCUUGACAUGCCAGGGUUGUACCCCGGUGGAAACACUGGGGGAGCGUGGGUUUUUACUCACGCGCUCUGGCACAGGUGCUGCAUGGCUGUCGUCAGCUCGUGCCGUGAGGUGUUGGGUUAAGUCCCGCAACGAGCGCAACCC
rnacentral:rRNA from 1 species